rnacentral:rRNA from 1 species
GGGAUGAGCUCAAAUUUAAAAUCUGGCUGGUUUACUAGUCCGAAUUGUAGUUUAUAGAAGCGUUUUCGGUGGUAGCCUGGGUAUAAAUCCUUUGGAAUAGGGUAUCAUAGAGGGUGAGAAUCCCGUCUUUGACUCAGGACAUGCUACUAUGUGAUACGUUUUCAAAGAGUCGAGUUGUUUGGGAAUGCAGCUCAAAAUGGGUGGUAAAUUUCAUCUAAAGCUAAAUAUUGGCGAGAGACCGAUAGCGAACAAGUACCGUGAGGGAAAGAUGAAAAGAACUUUGAAAAGAGAGUUAAACAGUGCGUGAAAUUGUUGAAAGGGAAACGUUUGACACCAGUCAUGCGGGUGGAAAAUCAGUCUUUUGCAGUGAGGAGUGGUGGGCGUUCAGACCGCAAGGCUGGCGUUUAUUUCAUCUUUGCUGUAAGUGAUGCACUUUUUCAUUUGCAGGUCAACAUCAGUUUGCUUUGCUGGAAAAAACUCUAAGGGAAGGUGGCAGCUUUGGCUGUGUUAUAGCCCUGGAGCGAUACAGUGGGGUGGACUGAGGUUUCGCAGUGUGUGCUCUCGGGCAAGGCUGACGGGGUGCUAUGGGGUUGUUCGGCGUACAAUGCAUGCAUUUUGCGUCGUGUCUGCUUCAUACUCGCUCUAAUCAGCUCUU